rnacentral:rRNA from 1 species
GACGAACGCUGGCGGCGUGCUUAACACAUGCAAGUCGAACGGAAAGGCCCGGCUUUUGUGGGGUGCUCGAUUGGCGAACGGGUGAGUAACACGUGAGUAACCUGCCCUUGUCUGUGUGAUAACUUCAGGAAACUGGGGCUAAUACCGGAUAUGAUCUCCUGCUGCGUGGGGGUGGAUGGAAAGUUUCGGCGGUUGGGGAUGGACUCGCUGCUUAUCAGCUUGUUGGUGUGGUAGUGGCUUACCACGGCUUUGACGGGUAGCCGGCCUGGGAGGGUGACCGGCCACCUUGGGACUGAGAUACGGACCAGACUCCUACGGGAGGCAGUAGUGGGGAACAUUGCACAAUGGGGGGAAGCGUGAUGCAGAGACGCCGCGUGCGGGAUGACGGCCUUCGGGUUGUAAACAGCUUUCGACUGUGACGAAGAGUGAGUGACGGUAAUGGGUAAAGAAGCACCGGCUAACUACGUG